AUAAGAUGCGACUCCCCUGUAAACGUGAAGUUGGACUGAAGACCUGGCAUGAAGCUACUGGACUAGUGUUGUACUGGAAUUGGAUUCCCUGGAAGAGGAAAUGGGAUUUGACUUUAAUAGCAGCAAUAGCAGCUCCAGCCCAUCUCAACUAACUUCUUCUCUUUCCACCCAAAAUGACAGUUACUUCAAUCUUUGAUACCACCUAAGAGAUUGUCAAACCACCUCUCCAGAUUAACUCCUUCCAAACAGAGUCUUCUCCAGCAGGAAGAGCAAGCGGUUACUUUAUAAGUCCAUACUCUGCUCUCAGGAGAAAAGCAAAGGCAACAUGACCUGCUAUGUGUUUGCCUCCACAUAAACCUACACACUUAGUUCUGUGUUGUACAAGAUAGACUGAUAUAUUCUAUAGGAUCAAGGGGGAUUUUUAAAUGUUAUUUUUAAGGUGGCCAGACUACCUGGGGACGGCUUCCUGUAUGGGCAAGAAGCAGUAACUGGGAGCCCCAAAGUGUUCAGCAGUGGAUGAGAAGAUCUGACACUUGGGGCCCAAUUUUCACAGAAGCGGAGGACCUCUGGUUGUAAUCAAAGGGCGCUUUGGAUGUUCCGCGAUUCUGAAAUUCAAGCCCCUGAUGCCUCUAGGCCCUAGAGUGAAGCUACCUGGAAGAGAAAAGAACUAGUGGCUGCUCUUACGGUCUCCUCUUAUUGGCAAUCCCUAGUGCUGCCCUCUCGUUCUCCUGCUCCCCUAUCAUUCAAGUAAAUUGCCUCUGGUCUUGGUCUCAUGCUGCUCCUCAGUUCUCUGCUCAGCAUCUGUAUCCCACUGCCUGGUACACAACUGAACACCUUUCCUCUCUAACCAAGAUCAGAUCCCAACCACCCCUACUCUGCACCACCUACCCACAACCUGCUCUCCAGCACCUGACUCCUCCUGGCAAAGUAACCCAGUAUCAGACCUAACAUCAUCUGCACUAUCGCUCAACCUCCUGACCAAACAGGAUCUUCAAGGUAGUUCAUGUAUGGGUCUGUAACCAGAACACGGAGCUAUCUAGUGGGAAAAGACAAGAAGUUAGAUCAAAAUAAAGUUAACUUGUGUGAGGGAGAGGAUUUGUUUGUUUUGUUCUUUUAAAUAAAAGACCAAAAGCAACACUUCACUUUCCAGCUAUCUUUCAAUUUUUGUAACAAUUCUAAUUCCCUUUAAAGUUCAUUGUUCUCGAGCUUGAAGAAACUCUCCUGGGCCUUGAUCCACAGAGUUAAGCCUGCAUGUAGUUUUAUAUUGUGAGUAGCCCCAUUUCCUUGUGUGCUUUGGUGAGGAAGAUGAUACUCAAAAAUACUAAAAACACUUCAGUCCUCAAAAUAAUGUAUAUUUACAUUUUCUGUUGGACUUGCAAAUAUAGGAGCUUGUCAACAUCUCAAACCAGCUUUCUCUCCUGUUUUCAAGUGCUUCAAGGACCAAACCUAAGAUUUGUGCCUUCAUAUGUGGCUGCUAUGUCUGGGGCAUAGAGGCUUAAGGCAAGGAAAGGGUCUCCUCUGACUGAGUUCACGCCAAGAUUUUACUUAUACCCUUUAUAAAAUACA